rnacentral:lncRNA from 1 species
AAUUGAAAUUUGAAAUUUGAAAUUUGAAAUUUGAAAUUUGAAAUUUGAAGUUUUUGAAAUUUGAAAUUUAAAAUUUAAAAUUUGAAGUUUUUGAAAUUUGAAAUUUAAAAUUUAAAUUUUGAAAUUUAAAAUCAAAAUUAAGUUUGAAUUUUAAAAUUUUAAAAUUUGAAAUCUAAAAUUUUAUGUUGAAAUUUAAAAUUUAAAAAUUGAUACAUCUUUGGGAACCCAAAAUGGUGGAAUUUUUUUUCUUUGGUUAAAGUGGAUUGUAAGUUUACUCCAUUUUUUGGAGUAUAGUAUAACUAAACUUCAAAAAUUACGCCUUUUUUUUUCUUCCAAACGCUUCAUAGGAUUAUUUUCCUACCGGCGUAGCAUAGUUUAACUAUACUACGUUUUUAGAGGUAUCCAAACAGGGCCUCAGUGUAAAAAAAGUUGUACACCGAGUAUAUAAGGUAUGCUCAUAUACAAUCUAUAAUUUGAAUUUUUUUUAAUUUUACCUACACCAAGUGUAAAAUUUUAGCGUAUGGACCAACCCUAUUUUUUAAUAGUCUCCUCGAGAAAAAAAAAAAAGUGAAAAAAGGUGGGCCCAUUUUUUUUUCUCUCUCUCACACACCCUACAAAGCUUUUUUUUUUUUUUUNUUUUUUUUUUUUUUUUUUUUUUUCUCUCAACAUAUUUUCUUUUUUGUUUUGUCCUACACUAAGUUUAAAAUUUUAUUGUAUGAACCAACCCUACACCCUCUCUCUCUCUCUCUCUCUCUCUCUCUCUCUCUCAGAUACACACUACACUUUUUUUGUUUUUUUUCUCUCAACACCCUCUCUUCUUCUCUCUCAGAUACACACUACACUUUUUUUUGUUUUUUUUUCUCUCAACACCCUCUCUUCUUUUUUUUUUUCACCUAACACCGAAUGUAAAAUUUUAUCACAUGGACAAAUCCUAUUUUUUAAUAAUCAAUAUAACAAAAUUAAAUUUUCAUACGGUUAACGUUGAACACCGAAUGUAUAAGACAUACUCAUAUACAAUCUAUAAUUUGAAUUCUUUUUUAUUUUUUCCUACAUCGAGUAUAAAAUUUUAGCGCAUGGACCAAUCCUAUUUUUUACACUUGGUGUGGGAUAAGAUAAAAAAAAAAAAGGUGUGGAG